rnacentral:rRNA from 1 species
CACCUGCACAGGUGCUGCAUGGCUGUCGUCAGCUCGUGUCGUGAGAUGUUGGUUAAGUCCCGCAACGAGCGCAACCCUUAUCCCUAGUUGCCAUCAGGUAAAGCUGGGAACUCUGGGGAGACUGCCGGUGAUAAACCGGAGGAAGGCGGGGAUGACGUCAAGUCCUCAUGGCCCUUACAUCCCGGGCUACACACGUGCUACAAUGGCAGGUACAGAGGGCUGCGAAGCCGCGAGGUGGAGCGAAUCCCAGAAAACCUGUCUCAGUCCGGAUUGAAGUCUGCAACUCGACUUCAUGAAGGCGGAAUCGCUAGUAACCGCGAAUCAGCAGGUCGCGGUGAAUACGUUCCCGGGCCUU